rnacentral:misc_RNA from 1 species
AGCAUCAUCCUGCUGAUGGAAGGAGACCAUAGGUGCAAUAAUUGACUUCACUUGCCAAAUAUCAUUGUAUUGGCUGUGGACUAGAAAGUUGAUCCAUGCUUACUAGAGAGGGAAUAGUACAGCAAUUAUUAGAGCUAGGUUGGAGACAAAUGGCAAUUGUUGACUUACAUCUUGCUUGGGCUAGGAGCACACAUUUUGUUGCCUGUUGCAUGUAUGUUUAAACCUAUGGCAUCAAAUAAUGAACAAAUAUUGAUAAAAAAGGAGUUGCUAUGAAAUGUCAACAGCCCAUUGGACUGAACUUUAUGAAAGGUUGCUGAUCGCUGAUCACCUUCCAAUGUGAGUGGUGUUUGCUUCAACUUUUCUGUGUGACAUUGCAAACCAAAGAUAGUGCUUAUUGUUCAGCCUUAAGUUGGAUAGUUACAAAUCUAUGAGGCAUUGAAUCCCUUUCACAAUUUUGGCUUUUGGGGCAUGCUCUUAGCACAUGUGAGCUAUUAAUAUGCCAUGUGGACUGGGAAUGGUUAAGAGCAUCAAAUUACCAUUCACCACAAACUUUCUUCGCUCUGCUUCUGGUAUCUGGUUAUUUUUUCUCAGUUAUUGAUUCUUUAUUAAAUUUUCACAUGCUUGCUUGUAUGAAGCCAUGAUGAAGGUAUGGUGUUCUGUCUGAUAUUAUAAAUUUUGUUUCUUACAUGUCCAUUCUGAAAAUUCCUUGAUACUGCAAGUUCUUGAUUUUAUAAGAAGUAAUGGUGGUCCUUUUUGUGUAAUUUCUUUCUGAAGAAUUCUUCAUGAUGCAGGAACAUCAUUUUUCUUUGUUG